UACGGAGGGGGCGAGCGUUGUUCGGAAUCACUGGGCGUAAAGGGCGCGUAGGCGGCCCUCUUUGUCGCGUGUGAAAGCCCCGGGCUCAACCUGGGAACGGCGCGCGAAACGGGGGGGCUGGAGUUCGGGAGAGGAGAGUGGAAUUCCCAGUGUAGAGGUGAAAUGCGUAGAUAUUGGGAAGAACACCGGUGGCGAAGGCGGCUCUCUGGACCGAGACUGACGCUGAGGCGCGAAAGCGUGGGGAGCAAACAGG
rnacentral:rRNA from 1 species